ACUCAGGGGUCAACAAUUAAACCAUCAAAUCUGCCUUUUAUUUUCAGAUGUUUUAAACUUUUCAAUUUUAUUUUGUAAAGAAAAACUCCAUAUAUAUUAGUUUUAUAAUUUUAGUAUUAUCCUAUAUUUUCAUAUAAAACUCUUAUCCUAAAGGAGAUCAAUAUAGUCUAAAAAUGGUUACGACCAUCAAACGCUCUUAACCAUUCAAUCGAGGGGUUAUUGCAAGGUAACAAGGUACGGUCUCUUUAGAAAUGUAAUUAACCCCAUUUAAUAUAAUGUCCUCUUUACACUUGUAUUUCACGAGUCUCUUUUGCAACUUGAAAUCGCUCGAAUUUAGAUAAAAGCAUGUGAAUUUAUGUAUAUUUCGACGGAUUUAACGUUAGGGCUGCAUGUGAUAUAGUACUAGCAAGUUGUAAUUAUUUGUUUUGUUUUACAUUAAUUUAUGUUAAACUUAUACAUUAAACCAAUUUAAUUGAUGACUUAAGUAUCUUGGACAAUAGGCAAAGCCUACAAAAAAACCAUUGUCCAAACUGUUGAGCAAGCGUACGGAAUCGAUUUUUUGUCUUUUAAAGACAUUUGUAAAUAUUAGCUUUUCGGUAUGCUGUAUUUUGCUUUACACAAAUAAAUGUUCAGAAAG
rnacentral:misc_RNA from 1 species